rnacentral:rRNA from 1 species
UACGUAGGGUGCAAGCGUUGUCCGGAAUUAUUGGGCGUAAAGAGCUCGUAGGCGGUCUGUUGCGUCCGCUGUGAAAUCUCGGGGCUUAACCCCGAGCCUGCAGUGGAUACGGGCAGACUAGAGGUAGGUAGGGGAGAAUGGAAUUCCCGGUGUAGCGGUGAAAUUCGUAGAUAUUCGGAAGAACACCAGUGGCGAAGGCGACUUACUGGACAGAUACUGACGCUGAGGUGCGAAAGCGUGGGGAGCAAACAGG